CAUCACAACUCCAAAUAUAGUGGCCCGUUGUGCCUAUAAAAAUAUUUAUGUCCAUCAAAUGCUGAAUUCAGGAAUCACGAUCUCCCUAUCUAUAAAUAAAAAGAAUCGUCAGAGGUAGGAAAAGAAUGACAAGUAAAGGCUGGGGAGAAUGGUUUUAAAAGGUAAUUUUCUUUUUUUUAAAGAUUUUAUUUUUCCUUUUUCUCCCCAAAUCCCCCCUGGUACAUAGUGGUGUAUUUUUAAUUGUGGGUCCUUCUAGUUGUAGCAUGUGGGAUGCCGCCUCAGCGUGGCUCGAUGAGCGGUGCCAUGUCCGCCACCCGGAUUCCAUUCAAGGAAACCCUGGGCUGCCUCAGCAGAGCACAAGAAUUUAACCACUUGGCCUCGGGGCCAGCCCCAUAAAAGAUAAUUUUCAAAGAAGGGUAAAAUCGUGAGCCUCAUAUAGAUAUAAAAAUGAAUACACGGUAAAGAUUUGAUUCUACCUAUUAAUCAAAGAGGGAACGGACAGAUGUUAUAACUGGUUCAAGAGCAUCUGAAGAGGCACAUUUAAAGAUCAGGAAUAUUGAAAUCAGUAUGCAUAUGAAACAAAACUGGUUUCUCCACGGGGAGUGAGAGGGAAGUCAAUUGAACCUCUACCAGAUGGGGAAGCAUUUGCAUGUCUGUUACCUUAUAACAUAUGAAAUUGUAAAAUAGACCAGACAAUGAAAGGCUAGCAUCAGAGAGCAGGAAGGCUGUGCUGUAUGCAGACAAUGCAUAGUUUCCCAUUGAAGCACAAAACUUCUCGUGGAAUAUGGCAUUUCAUGUGAUUUCUGAUUCUUCAACGGAUAUCUGGGGAAGGAUCUCAGUGGGGGCCUGGGUGUGAUCUGGGAUCGCCUGGGAAACUUUCAAAACAGAAUCCCCACCUCCGACUGGCACUGAAGAUUCUAAUGGAUGCUCUGAACAAUUAGAGGGCCUCUUCAGCUGCUUUUUCAGUUUGAAGUUAUGAUUGGAGGAGACCUCGAAAUUCAGCUGUGUGCAGUAUUUACAGGUAUCAACUGGUCAUGUUCUUCCCAACGUGUAUUCUGGUUUAGGGUAAAAUGGAUCCCAGUGGAGUCUGAGAGAAUGGAUCAGUUCAACCCCUCUAAGAGCUUGACCUCUAAGCAUAGAGGUGGAGCCGACUGCUUUCCCAUCCAUCAGUUCUCUUUCAACCUGAUGUGGAGAUGAUGACAAAAAGAAUGGACUUUAACAAGAAGUAUUUAACAUUCAAAGCCAGCCUCCUGACUUGACACUAUCCUCCUAGAUUUGGAGGCUUUUUGUUUUCAUAUCUUCAGUGACACCUAGGAAAGUGCUUAACAUGUAUGUAAUGCUUAAUAAAGAUUUGCUUAAAAUUUUUUUGUUUUUAGUG
rnacentral:lncRNA from 1 species